GUCAUAUAAAAGUUGAAGUCAAUGCGUUUUCUAAGUUGCCCUGCGCGCCUCUCUCAGCCUCUCUCUCUCUGUGUCUCUCUCUCUCUCUCUUCUUGUCGCCCAAGCCUUGCCCCUCUGUUUCUCUGUUGCUAACUCUUUCUGCUGUGCCCCCUGAAACCAUAUUUCCGAAAGUCAUAGCCGGGACCCCAUACCAAAACACCAACCUUGUUAGUGUUGUAUUUACAGAUGCCUUCUUCAAAGGGAAAGAAGCAUUCAAAGAACCAAUCAAGGUUGUCGAAUUCUGACAACUUUUCUUAACCUGGGUCACUUGAUUUUGAAGCUACUGAUGAGAGUUUCGCAAGCUCUCUUGAACAAGCUUCGGUUAAAUACCCAUCUCUGAUUCAGAACGACCCCAAAAGCUGUAAAAUUUGACUUUCAGAACCUUCCAUUCCAAUGUCGCCUCUUCCUUCUCUCCUGGAUCCAUUGUUGCGG
rnacentral:lncRNA from 1 species